rnacentral:rRNA from 1 species
GAUGAACGCUGGCGGCGUGCCUAAUACAUGCAAGUCGAGCGAACAGACGAGGAGCUUGCUCCUCUGACGUUAGCGGCGGACGGGUGAGUAACACGUGGAUAACCUACCUAUAAGACUGGGAUAACUUCGGGAAACCGGAGCUAAUACCGGAUAAUAUAUUGAACCGCAUGGUUCAAUAGUGAAAGACGGUUUUGCUGUCACUUAUAGAUGGAUCCGCGCCGCAUUAGCUAGUUGGUAAGGUAACGGCUUACCAAGGCAACGAUGCGUAGCCGACCUGAGAGGGUGAUCGGCCACACUGGAACUGAGACACGGUCCAGACUCCUACGGGAGGCAGCAGUAGGGAAUCUUCCGCAAUGGGCGAAUGCCUGACGGAGCAACGCCGCGUGAGUGAUGAAGGUCUUCGGAUCGUAAAACUCUGUUAUUAGGGAAGAACAAAUGUGUAAGUAACUAUGCACGUCUUGACGGUACCUAAUCAGAAAGCCACGGCUAACUACGUG